ACACAAGUACAUAUAUAUACAAGGUGCCCGUGUUGGUCCCGUACCUCUCCAAGACGCCAGAUACAGUCAGUGACAACUCGCAAAAAUCUAUACUUUACAUUAAGAUCAUUUUCAAUAAUCAACCAUGACAAGAAUAGUCCUCGUUGUUCUGGUUUUCAUAUUGGCAUCUGCGAUGUCGUCAGGUUCUCCAGCGGGAAGAGCAAAGCGAUUUUUCCAAUGCCAAAAGGAUCCCAACUGUGGCGUGCAUGUGGGGGUACAGGCCGGAGCCAAUGGUCAAGUGCUGACCUGUUGGUGUGCUGACCCCGCCAAAACGAUGAAAUGCUGUGUUGAGGUUAACUGGGGGUAAAUGCCCAAGACUCCAGUCUUUAUACCUUACGGUACCCUUGUAUUUGUGCAAUAGACUGAUUAUAAUGCAGUAAUAAAUAACUUUAUUGUUUAAAUUAAAAGA